rnacentral:lncRNA from 1 species
UUUCUCUCGUGCUAAAAGUUUUAUUCCUUGUAUUCCUAGGUUUUCUUUGCAAAUUUUUUUGAGGUGAAAGAAACUUAGAUUAGGCCCAUCCAAGUCCAAAAUUAAACAUUGUAUGGUUUUGAUUAGUGAACCCAGAAAACUAACUAGAUUGACUGUAAACCCAAAAAAUAAUCGACGUAAAAAUUUUAUUCAAUGAUCCCGAAAAACCAACUGAAUUUGUUUAUGAGCCCGAAUAAAACAAAUACAUUGUGAUCGGACUGAUUAUAGUAGAAUUUUCAAGUAGAGCUUGAGGAGUGGAUAUAGGUGUAAGGUUGCACCGAACCAUUAUAAAUUUGUUGUCUUUGCCUUGUGGCCUGUUUUGCUUUUAUUACUUAUUUUUAAUUCGUAUACUAUUACUUGUAUAUCUUAAUUCCGCUACAACAUAUUACAUAUACCACACAAUCACUUAAGUUAGAUUAAUUUGAAGCAUGUAAUUAUCUUAAAGUUAAAUUUAGUAAAAAUUUGUAAACAACCCAAUUCACCCCUCCCUCUUGGGUUGCUAAUCAUUUUCGGCAACACAUCUGUUAAGAACUCAACCAGCAUCUUGAUCAAGAAAUGUUAGAUGAAUGAAGAAAGAAUGAAGAUCAUUAAGGAUCAAAACGACCAUUAAUUAUCCUUGUUUGUUUAUUAAUUAUGAUCACAUCUUGGCAAUAAGAGGACCAAGUGCCUGCGAAGUUCUCAUAUCUUUUGGUGGUUGACAUUCAACAAUUGACUGGAGAAGGCAUUUCUGAAAGUUGCGCCAGCCACUCUCUUAGUCCAACAACCUGAUCAUGUGAAGAUUAGAUAAUAGUCUUUCACCCUCAUAUGGAGAUAAUUAAUCAAUAAACUAUGAAGCUAAAGCUCAUCAAUAUGAUCUUGGGACUAGUUCCAUGUAGAAGAAUAAACUUAAUGCAGCUUAGGGUUAGAUGGCAUUUACGAUUAACUAUUUUAUCAUUUUAGAACUUUAUUUCUUGUUUAUUUGAUUUUUUUUCUUAAAUUUUCUACAGAAUAACUGAUCACGUGAGCCCUCCCAAUACAUCAAAGAGAAGAAAAAGGGGAUCAAGACAUUCUUUUUGGAUAAGAGAGUAGUUCGAUAAGGGAAAGACAAAAUGAAGGAGAAAAGAAAAAAGAAGAAUGAGAGAAACAAGUAAAGAAAUGAGGAGAGGAGCAAAAGAUAGGAGGAAGAGAAAGAACAGAAGAUAGAAAGGGGGAAAAACGAUGAAAAAUGAAGCAGCUUGUCAUUUUGAGAGGUCAUGUUUAAUUAAUUUGUCAUACUAGAACUUAUUUUUGCAAUUUUAAGUAAUUUGUUAUUUUUUAUUUAAAUAAUGGAAACAUCAUAACUAUUAUUUUGCAACUAAAAGAACAAGUUUUUUGCACAUG